GAUGAACGCUGGCGGCGUGCUUAACACAUGCAAGUCGAACGGAAAGGCCAGUGCUUGCACUGGUGCUCGAGUGGCGAACGGGUGAGUAACACGUGGGUGAUCUGCCCUGCACUUUGGGAUAAGCCUGGGAAACUGGGUCUAAUACCAGAUAGGACCAUGCUUUGGAUGGUGUGGUGGAAAGUUUUUUCGGUGUGGGAUGAGCUUGCGGCCUAUCAGCUUGUUGGUGGGGUAAUGGCCUACCAAGGCGUCGACGGGUAGCCGGCCUGAGAGGGUGUACGGCCACAUUGGCACUGAGAUACGGCCCAGACUCCUACGGGAGGCAGCAGUGGGGAAUAUUGCACAAGGGGCGCAAGCCUGAUGCAGCGACGCCGCGUGGGGGAUGACGGCCUUCGGGUUGUAAACUCCUUUCGCAACUGACGAAGCUUUUUGUGACGGUAGGUUGAGAAGAAGCACCGGCUAACUACGUG
rnacentral:rRNA from 1 species